GAUGAACGCUGGCGGCGUGCCUAAUACAUGCAAGUCGAGCGAACGGACGAGAAGCUUGCUUCUCUGAUGUUAGCGGCGGACGGGUGAGUAACACGUGGAUAACCUACCUAUAAGACUGGGAUAACUUCGGGAAACCGUAGCUAAUACCGGAUAAUAUUUUGAACCGCAUGGUUCAAAAGUGAAAGACGGUCUUGCUGUCACUUAUAGAUGGAUCCGCGCUGCAUUAGCUAGUUGGUAAGGUAACGGCUUACCAAGGCAACGAUGCAUAGCCGACCUGAGAGGGUGAUCGGCCACACUGGAACUGAGACACGGUCCAGACUGCUACGGGAGGCAGCAGUAGGGAAUCGUCCGCAAUGGGCGAAAGCCUGACGGAGCAACGCCGCGUGAGUGAUGAAGGUCUUCGGAUCGUAAAACUCUGUUAUUAGGGAAGAACAUAUGUGUAAGUAACUGUGCACAUCUUGACGGUACCUAAUCAGAAAGCCACGGCUAAAUACGUG
rnacentral:rRNA from 1 species